rnacentral:lncRNA from 1 species
GUUGGAUUUACCUCUGCAGUUUCAAGAGGAUUCUGGUAAAUAUCCUGAUUUAACCUAGAAUAUUUCCUACAGAGUUGUGGGAAGAUAACUUAGUUUCAGAAAAGAGCUUUUAGUUCAACUUAGUAUUAGUUGCAUGGAAAAUGCAAUGGAUUACAUGGAAAUGAUGCAACAAUCACACAGAAAGCGAUCUAAAUGGAAGCUGUCUGACUGGUAUUCAGCACUUUGUGCUAUAGCCUCCUUGCCUCUGAACUUUGUUCACCAUCAGCCUAGGGAGAAGGCAAAGCUGGUUUUUAGGUGUAAAGCUGGGAGGGAGACCAAUACAGAAAGUCAGCAGCCUGGAAGGAACGUGCAAGGUGACAGUUAAGUUACAUCCACAAGUGGUUUAUCAGAAGCAGUGUUUUGUGUGAAGGAGUAUCGGAGCACCCCUGCUGUUAGUUCCUGCUGGAGGAGCAGCUGCCUUGAUGCAGUUUGGCACUGCCUUUCUUUUAAAACACGUUUCCACUCAAUGCACUUGGUGUGGCAGUGACCUUCUUACCCAUCAAGUGUAAGUACACAUGCGGCAUCAGAGCAGACCAAGAACAUUGUGAAGAUGAAGAAUAAAACCUCUUCUGUAGA